rnacentral:tRNA from 1 species
GUCUCGGUGGCGCAAUUGGUAAGCUUUCACUUCCGAAAUUCAUCAUAUCUCUCAGUUACUAAUUCAGCAUUAAAGGUUAGCGCGUACGACUGUUAAUCGUGAGGUUGAGAGUUCGAUCCUCUCCCGGGACG